AGUGAACGCUGGCGAUAGGCCUAACACAUGCAAGUCGAACGGCAGCACAGUAAGAGCUUGCUCUUACGGGUGGCGAGUGGCGGACGGGUGAGGAAUACAUCGGAAUCUACUUUUUCGUGGGGGAUAACGUAGGGAAACUUACGCUAAUACCGCAUACGACCUACGGGUGAAAGCAGGGGAUCUUCGGACCUUGCGCGAUUGAAUGAGCCGAUGUCGGAUUAGCUAGUUGGCGGGGUAAAGGCCCACCAAGGCGACGAUCCGUAGCUGGUCUGAGAGGAUGAUCAGCCGCACUGGAACUGAGACACGGUCCAGACUCCUACGGGAGGCAGCAGUGGGGAAUAUUGGACAAUGGGCGCAAGCCUGAUCCAGCCGUACCGCGUGGGUGAAGAAGGCCUUCGGGUUGUAAAGCCCUUUUGUUGGGAAAGAAAAGCAGCAGGUUAAUACCCCGCUGUUCUGACGGUACCCAAAGAAUAAGCACCGGCUAACUUCGUG
rnacentral:rRNA from 1 species